rnacentral:rRNA from 1 species
GCUGCAACUGCCUACACGAAGUUGGAAUUGCUAGUAAUCGUGGAUCAGCAUGCCACGGUGAAUACGUUCCCGGGUCUUGUACACACCGCCCGUCACACCAUGGGAGCUGGUAACACCCGAAGUCAGUAGUCUAACCGCAAGGAGGACGCUGCCGAAGGUGGGAUUAGCGACUGGGGUGAAGUCGUAACAAGGUAUC